GUACGUAGGGUGCAAGCGUUAAUCGGAAUUACUGGGCGUAAAGCGUGCGCAGGCGGUGAUGUAAGACAGUUGUGAAAUCCCCGGGCUCAACCUGGGAACUGCAUCUGUGACUGCAUCGCUGGAGUGCGGCAGAGGGGGGUGGAAUUCCGCGUGUAGCAGUGAAAUGCGUAGAUAUGCGGAGGAACACCGAUGGCGAAGGCAACCCCCUGGGCCUGCACUGACGCUCAUGCACGAAAGCGUGGGGAGCAAACAGGAUUAGAUACCCUGGUAGUCCACGCCCUAAACGAUGUCAACUGGUUGUUGGGAAUUUACUUUCUCAGUAACGAAGCUAACGCGUGAAGUUGACCGCCUGGGGAGUACGGCCGCAAGGUUAAA
rnacentral:rRNA from 1 species